UAUACAUUAUAUAAUUGAACAAUAAUAGCAGAUAAUUAAUUUAAAUUAAUUUAAAAUUGGAUACAAUAAUUCUACGUUCGUAUCGUGAUUUAUUUUCUAAAAAUGAAGAGAUUUGAUCGGGUUCUGUCUAACUUCUCCCUUUGUUUUGAAUCACCGUCGUUGCUGCCCUCACAAACAAUAAUGUAAUUACCCAAAGAAACGAGUAUUAUUCUGGCUUCUAUGACGGCACAGUCUUUAUACGAACGAUGCGAUGCGAUGCGAUCGAUCAUCUUUCGACGAACGAUAAGUUUUCAAGUGAAUUAGAAACGACAUUAAUUUGUGGUAGGUAAAUAAUUUAUCAACCGUGUCGACCGAAAAAGUUUUUUUUGGUUUACAUUCGGUCGAGUGGAAAUGACCGAUCAAGUAGACAUGCGCCAAAUUUCUAUGAGAAAUUGUUUUCAUCCAUGAUUAAAUUAAUAAUGAAUAUUACGUGACGGCGAUUCAUCGAUCUUAGAUAUAGACGAGAAAAUCGGAUCAGUAUUAUCACUUGGAAACCGCAUGCGUUCCAGUUGAAAGACUAUUUGAGAACCUCUAAACUAGCCUACACUUUUUACGGAUAUGAUACUUACGCUCUAUACGAGCGCACAAACUGUACCUGAUAUUCGUAUACGUUCCGAUUGUUCACCUCACCGGAACAACAUCGGAAGAGCUCGUCCGCUCGUUACCUCGAAACAAAUCUCCGUUCAAUUUGGCUCUUCUUUUGUCAGUCGGUUUUACUUUCGUCUCUCCGUGUCUAUGAAAAAUCAUGAUUCGUGCUCAUGUAUCUCUGAUAUCGCGAAAUAGAUUCUUUCCCUGUUUAUUCCCCGAUCUCGAAAGGCAAGUUGGAACUAACGCAAGGAAAUAAGAUAGACGAGUAUGCAUUAUAGACGCGUGCGCACGCGCCACAAGGAAGGAAUAGAAUACGAUAUCGAGGAUACAAACGCGUGUCCGGUAAAAUGACUCGCGUCCCGUUAUAUGACGGCUGGUUCGUUCGCGCGAAAUGCUAAAAGCCUGUGUUCAGGGCAUAUACGAUGUGACCAAGGACCGUUAACUAUGCCUAAUUAACCGACCAUUCGUCUCGUUCCAUGUUGCAUUAAUAUUUCGCGAUAUGAUGUUUCAGGCCAACUAAUCGAUUGGCGUAUUUAUAUUUUUGUUUCGAUCGAUCGUAGAUCUAAAACAUAGAUCUUUUGUUUCAAUUCUGAUCAAUAUUCUUGAAAGAAUUUUUUGUAAUUAUUUUUGUAAAAUAUCUAUCGUAUUUAAUUAAAAUUAAUUAUUCAAGAGAAGAAUGGUCGAUUUUCCAAGAGAAUAUUGAAUAUCGUUUUUAUUUCAAUUCCAUCAUCAUUAUUCACUAAACUAUGGACAAUGAAGAUAAGUAAGAUGAAGAUAUAAUAAGAAAAAGAUUUGAAUAUUAAUUGAAU